AGCAAUCUCAGAUUACAAAGUUUAUACAGCUGGAUCUGUCAUAGAUUUACUUCAUUAUGUUGCCCCACAUACCAUGGAGCGUGGGAGUGCCCAUUUCUCUUAUGGGAUUGCUGACGACCUUGAUGAUCCGAAAUACAACCACUACAAGUAUUGGUCAAACCCGUUGGAGACGAGAUUGCCAAAUGCUCCGGACAUGGAGAUCUUUUCUUUGUAUGGAGUUGGAAUCCCGACUGAAAGAGCUUAUGUUUAUAA
rnacentral:misc_RNA from 1 species